AAAAGUUUAHGUGGGGUAAAAAUUAACAAAUUCUUCAACCAAAAAUAAAUCGAUAUCUCGUUACGAUUUAUUUAAAAUUAUCGUUAUUUUUAUGAUGUCCAUUGCUAAAUAUACCUGCAUACGAGUAUAACCGAAUCAAAUUGCCGAAUAAUCACGAAAAAGAUGACGUUCAAUUUCGGACAUCGUCCAGUGCAGCAUAACACAUGGUUAGGUAUGUAACCAGAUCUCAUCGCCUCUACUUCGAAGCAUUACGCAAUUGGACUACGUAGUCCUCAAAUUUUUGCAGGGUAUGUUACCCGCAAAAACUACGAAAAUUGUUCUACAAAAWCAACAACGGUUUCAAAUAGCAUCAGCACCCUGCAAAAAUUAGAGGAUAAGUGCAACAACCUUCAAAAAUUAUUUGUGGACAAAAUUACAGAAUUGGGAGAAUUAAUUGGAAAACAAAACAAAGUGAUCAUUAAUAUUUUGGCGGAACAUACCGUUUUGUUACAAAAUCUAACUCAAAAUGAGAAGGGAACUGUUGGAGCUAUUUCCAAAUUUCUUAUCAAAUCAGAUGAUGAUAUCGUGAAAUUAGAGAUGUUUUUAUUAUUAUUUUCUUUAUUAAAAAAUUUUUAUUUUACACAAGUAUAUUAAAAUUGAAA